GGCCUUGUUGGAUUGGGUGUGGCCUUGUUGGAGUAGGUGUGGCCUUGUUGGAGUAGGUGUGGCCUUGUUGGAGUAGGUAUGACCUUGUUGGAGUAGGUGUGACCUUGUUGUAUUGGGUGUGGCAUUGUUGGAGUAGGUGUGGCCUUGUUGGAGUUGGUGUGGCCUUGUUGGAGUAGGUGUGGCCUUGUUGGAGUAGGUGUGGCCUUGUUGGUGUAGGUGUGACUUUGUUGGAAGAAGUGUGCUACUGUGGUGGCUUUGCAUUGAGAUUUGUAUAUACUCAAACUAUGCUCAGUGGUACAGACAAUCCCUUUCUGCUGUCUGUGCAUCAAGAACUUUGGGCUCCUCCAGCACAAAGUCUGCCUGGAUGCUCCCAUGAUUCCUGCCAUGAUGAAAAUAUACUGAACCUCUGAAACUGUAAGCCAGCUGCAGUGGAAUCUUGUCCUUU
ensembl:lncRNA